ACCAAGACCAGAAGGCCUGUGCUUAGAUAAACCCACAGCUCCAGUGACUUGUCAACAAGAAAUCACAGAUGAGGACAUCAGCAGAAUUAGCAUGCUGCCGGUUCCAUUCCUCUUGGUGGUACCUCUCAGAUGUCCUUAAUGUAUGAACACAGACAAAGCACCUUAGAUUUUGCUAAGAUUUAUGAAGCAAAAUUAUGAGGCCAAAGGGCCUCACCAUAACUGUUGGCCUCUAAUUGCCCACAGCCAAUCUGCCAUCACCAACACAGACGUGCUGCUGGGUCGUGUCUCUUACUCUCUUCAUUACACUUACGCAUCACACUAUGCAUGGCCAGAACAGAGGAUGAUUGUUGGUAGGUGAAGUCUGCUGUCUUCAGUGUAAAAGAAAAAAAAAAAAAAAGACACCUUAAAUUUCCCUAAGAUCUCACUUCAAGCUUUGUUGCACUAAUUUCCUACACCUGAAAGCAUAAAGGCAAAUAACUACAAAACUUCCUACUUCUGAUGCUGAAUACAAACUCAGCCUAUUGACCAGGUGUCCCCCUCACUCAUUGUACAUUCUCCUAAAUGGUCACACUUACAGGUUAAUUUUUAGUAUUGACACUUACAUUUGUUUUUAUCUGAAGGUAUCUGAACAGAUAGAAAGAUUUUAAGAGUGAAAAUGGUUUAAAAACUGGCAGCUUUCCAAGGUUCUCUCCUUCAUCUCCAGGGUCUUUUCUCCCAGUUUCUUCUGCUGCUUCGUUGAAAGGAGUGGGCUGUCUUCCAUGCUCCCAACUCUCCUCCCUAAUUUCAACUACAGACCUUUAUAUCUAGUAACUGUCACAGCAAUGAGGUAAAUGAUCCUUUUCUUCUAAGCAUUCCCAAUUCCUGCCUUCACCUAGUCAAGAGCAGAAAACAGAGCUGCAAAAAGCCAGAUUUCCAUCAAGAUGAUGGAAGCAUCAGGCUGUGACCUGUCACAUCCCUCUGAAACCUAUUUUUAAUUGCUUUUCAAAAGAAGCGCUUCCUACAGAACCCCUCUUCCUUGUAUUCAAGGCCUACUCUGUUUUGCCUCCACCCUCCCUGAUGUGUAACAUAAUCUCAAACAUUAUAGUCAUGCAUACAAUGCUAACCCUAUUUCUUGGGUUAUCAGUCAUUUUCCUCCACUUAGUAGGUGCAGAGUUAUCUUGAAUUCAGUGCCGCGUCCCUAUUCUUCAGAAAGUCAUCAUAGUCUCUUAGGAGCAAGUAGAGAACAAAGACCAUCUUGUGGGGCAUCUCACAGUCUGUUAAUGCAAGCUGUCAGAGGGCUUUUACUGCAAAGUGGAUAAAGCAGAGACAUGGUAUAGGUGGAGCAGCAGGAAGGCACUUAGCAGAUGUCAUGCUGGCUGAGAACCUGUGGGACAUCUCACUCCUCAGACCCCCAGUGCUGUGCCCAAGGGUGACCACAGCUCCCCAGGUUUUUCACUGCUCUUCCCCUCUCCAUUCAUACCUUAAAGUGAUUCAAAACCAAUUGCCUUUUUCUGUUUUAGAGAGAGCCACGCUGUUUCCUCAUUCCUUCCUGUCCACUUGUGAUGCGUUGAUGGCUAGACUAAAUGAUCUUAGUGAUCUUUCCCAACCUUAGUGAUUCUAUGACCCCUAAGACCUCUAUGACCAACUUCAGACCCCACACAGUCUGAGGUCCUUUUUGGAAACAGUUAACUCUAACUAAGCCAAAGCUUUUCCUUACUGUCCAGCAAAGUAGCAAGGAUCUGAGAAAACAUCUAGGCAGAAAGUCAUUUAUUUGAAUUCUUAUUUCCAUGCCCACUGAAGAUUUUCAGUUUUCUAUCUGUGCCACAACUUCCUGUAAAUAAAAACAGUGGGAGCAGGAGAAGAGCCUUCCCAUCUGAUCACAACCUUUUCACAACCUUGUUCUGGGACUACGCAUAACUAAAGCCAACGAUGCCUCACUGUACCUACUAGUAAGAAGGCACAAAUAAUACAUGCAAAAUUUGGUUUGCAAACAGCAUCAGCUUACAGUAAUGUGAAUAUUCUGUUUAACAAAAAGGCUGUCUAAAUGCAAACUUUGGAUUCAAAGUAGCCCACAAGAACUGUUUAUGUCAUUACUUGUGUAACUUUAUCGCAGGAUGGAGAGUAGCGCAGUAAUAGCAGGGCGCCAAAGUUUUUGGCUACAGCAAAUGAGAGCAAACCCAAACGCAGCAGACACAGAAAUGAAGGAAAAGAGCUGCUCACCUUUGGAAAGCCUCAGCUGUACAGGGAUCUCCAGCCAGUGAUGCCCUCUCCUCCACUGCUAACCCUUAAAUGAGGUCUGGGAAGGGGUGGAUCCUGGCUGCACCCCUUCCAGUCACUCAGGUGCAUUGCAAGCACCUGAGCUCCCCUGGGUUGACCCUGCCUUCCCACCAGGUGCUUAAUCACGGCUUCAGGCUCUGACCUAGCAUCUCAGCUACAACUUACCAGCUGCUGCCUCUGUUCACUUAAGUGGAAUAUUUCUAUCAAAACAAUGAUAAGUCUUCCAGAAAGAAAGGCAACAUUCACAUUUCAUCUUAUUUAUGUGUAUAUGAUGCACAUCAAUAGAAAAUACUGAUGUAUAUUAUUAAAUAAGUGUACAGCUACAGCUUGGCUGAGGCAUUAAAACUAACACCUUCACAAACUGAAGGCAGUUCUACGCGCUUUUAUCUGAACCUGUAUAAAUUAUGGAAUAGUUCCACUGUAUGGUAGGGUUACUGAGUUCUCAUAAUCCAUAUUAAACCUGCAGCUCAAAGAGUCAUACAACAACUUUGCACUUCAAUAGUUUUCAGAAAACAAGAUUUCCAAGCCGCAAGAGAGAGAACCACCUUUCCUGCACACACAUUUCUGAAAUAAUAGGGCACAGGCUCAGAUGGCAGAGACUGCUUUAGUGAAGCAUGGGCAGAGGUUGCCCAGAGAGGAGGCAGAAGACCCACCCCUACAGACACUCAAGGCCAGGCUGGAGGGAGCUCUGAGCAACCCGAUGUAACCUUAGGUGUUCCUGUUCAUUGCUGGGGAGUUGGACAAGGUGGCCUUUAAGGGUCCCUUCCAACUGAAAUGGUUCUAUGAUUCUACCCCAUGUGCCACGAUGACUGAUUAACCUGGUCCGACUCCAAGCUCCUUCCAACAUGGAACAACAUAACAUCACCUGCAAUCCCCUCUGCAGCUGAGAGCUAUGCUGCCCCAUGGCUCUGCUUAUUCUCCACAUUGCUGCUUGGAAAGUUCCAAUAUCAUUACAUCAACAUCAUCAUGUGAAAGCCCUCCCUUUUUAAUUUUUGCCCUCUAUCCAUUUAACUUUAGGACUUAGAGUUCUACAGAAAGGCCAGGGUGUAUCUUCUGAUCCUGGCCUUGACGAUAAAGGUUUGGGAGUUUUUGUUCAUAACUGUUACUUGCUGUCUGCCUCAGAAAAUUCAUCAGCCCUAAUUUUUUUCUUGUUGCAUUUGUUAUUUCUCACCAAUGGGGGUGUAACACAGCUCUAUAUAUGGUCAGGAAAGAUCUUCAAGUAAAUUGAAAGAGGUACAGGAUGUUUGCUCACUGACAUCUCAAACCAAAGCCAGAGAGUGCUCUGCUAGAGUUUGGCUCUUGUAGCGUGAGCUGUUACCAUUUGGUGGCUAAUGUCUAUUAAUUAACAGGACAGAGUUGUGCAAAAUCAGUCCUGUCAGGAAGCAAAUAAAGCACAAUAGCUUUGAAAAUGCUCACAACGAAUCCUUGGAGUGGCCUGCAGAUGAUGAGCAGCCAGCAAAGCACAGAGGUCUGCCAGGGGCCCAGGCUCCCAGCAGCAGGGCCUAAGAAACCCAUUACUGUGAUGCGGACACACAAAGCAACUGGAAGUCUAACAACUCGGGCCUCGUCCUCAGUGGGGCUCACAGGGCCUGCUCCAUCAGAACCCCCUGCACCUCACUCACUAGAGAAUCAAAGGAGCAAACUUCCAAGAAACUACAUUGUACACCAGAGACAUUACCACAGCAUGCCUGCUACACUGCCAGACUUCACUGCCCCAAGGCAAAACCAUACUAUUUCCUGGGACAUAACAGAACCUACAGAUUAAAAAUUAGUGUUUUGUAACUUAUAUAUUAAUAAAAUUAUAUACUUUAUGAAGGCUGCUUCAAAAGCAAUGCCUCUUAGUUUAUGUUCACCCACAACACCAGAGGCAUAUGCUGAUCAGAUGGCAGAAGAGGUUGAAGCUUCCUGCCAAUAACCCAUUACAUGUUGUUGCCAUGUGACAGAUGGCAGCAGAGGGGCAGUCUGACACAAUGGCAUCUGACAUGGAAGUGCUCAUGAAGAAAAGGUGCGUCACUGAAUUCCUCCAUUCAGAAAAAAUGGCACCCACUGACACUUGUUGAACACUGAUGGAGACCAAACAGUGGAUGUGAGCACAGUGAGGCAGUGUGGGUGAUGCGGUUGACAGCAGGUCACCUCUGGUGUAGAUGUUCACGAGCACAGCAUGCAGGUUCUUGUUCAUUGCUGGCAAAAAUGCAGAGCUAGUGGUGGUGGCUGUGUUAUCAAAUAGUGUUUUUGUAGCUAAUAAUUUGCUCUAUCAAAUAGUGUUAUUGUGCUCUUUAUAUCUCUUGUACUUUCCAUGGAAAUAAAUAGAUGGCAUUACUUUUGGAGUGACCUACAUAGUACACACUAAAUCAUCCAGCUCGCUAGCUGACCUUCACCAUAUGCAGCACAGGAUGCAAAAAGCCCUGAGAAACUCAGUGAGUGCUGAGAGUGGUUAGACCAUGAGUGUUGCUGUGGUUUUUCAGCACCAGAGAAACAAAGGCAGACAGCUGAAAGCCUUGGUAUAGUGCACUGUGGCCUGCUGAAGUGCAUACAUGCUCUACAGUCCAGGCACACUUGAUGGACAUAUAUGUAGGAACAAGAUGGAGGGAGUCAGAAAGCACAACUGACACUGGUCCUGGCAGACCAUUGGUAUGCUUGUGGUCACGUUCUUUUCUGGCAAAAGAGUCUUUGCAAAACUUUACAAAGCUGCAAUAUAUGCGUUGUGAGCAAUUCCUCAUUGUGAGGAGAAGUAUGGGGAAAAACACAAGACGUGUUUUUGUAAACCACUGAGAUUAGAUAAAGCAAACGAGAAAGGAAAAUAUCAUGACUCAAAAAACCCACUCCAGAACUCGAAAUGUACCAACAGUACAGUUUCUAUGGAGAGAAAAGAAGAGCUGAUCUUGCACCUUCUUUUCGCCUCCAGUAAUGAAGCAAUUCCUCCUUCAGGCUCAGGCAUGUGAGUUAGCUCCACAGCCUGUGAAACUACUGUCUUUUAAAGAACAGAAUCAGGCUUCUGAGGAGGAAGAACUAGUGUAAUUUCUCUGAGUUCUUUUCAUCCCACCCAUUCCAUGAUGAAUGAAAUGAAAACACUUCCCUGGAGGGUCCCCUAGCACAGCACUCCCAGAGGUGUUUUGCCCUCAGUUUAGAUAGUCAUGGUUUGAGGUAGGGAGACACAGAAUGGACUUUCCAUCAGCACAGAAGGAAUGAAUAUGUUCAGAGAUUUCUGGUAGCCCAGGAGAAGCAGCGCUUGCUCCAGGACUUCCCAAGGUCCAGAGCUGAGGGGUCAUUUAGUGUUAGGAAGGUAUGUAACUUCCUUACCCAAACUAUCUUCUUUGUACCUUCCUUUUUAUCGACAAGAUAGCUUGGCCAGUCAUAAGCACAGCUAACUUGGAGUCUUCCAGUUAUUACUUCUCUUCAGAUUUUAAUUUGAGAGAAUCAGCUUACAGCCUGUUAAAUGCUUUACUCACUGCCUUGCUGAGAUUCAUUUGAUUCACUGAUGGGUUGUGAAGAUUUAUUGAUUUUUCUGCCAUUUUAUUAUAUUACUCUUAUACAAUAGUCAAAAGAUGAACUACAGUCAAGUGGCUAACACAAUUAGCACACUGGCAGAGGUAAAAGCAGGCAGGUUAGACCUGGCAGGUUAGAAUGCCUAGGGAAAGGCAUUCUGGAGCCACCAAAGGAGAUGGCUGAGGCUCUAAUACAGGUGCUUGUGGUUGUUUCUGAGGCUCCAUCCAUGACAGGUGGGAGAAACUUUGAAGCCAGGAAGAAGACAAAAUACCAUGUGCCACAUUCCUCUUUAAAACAGGAAAAGAGAGAACCCAAGGACUGGUGGGCACUGGCUUCAGUAUACUGAAAUGAAUGAUGAAAGCUUGGAUAUAAAAAUAAGAAAAGUGACUAAAAACAAACAGAAAUGUAUAGAAAAUUUUAAAUCUCAGAGUUUUGUAUCAUACCUGUGAUUGUGGAGGGUAGGUAAAUCCAAAGUUUCUCAAUACCUGGGUGGGACAGCACUGCUGACCACGUGACUAAGUAACUUUACAUGUGCAGUCUGCCUGAGAAGAGAUGGGCUGCUGGGAUGUUUCAUCUCUGAGACCUCAGCAUUCCCCUUUCCUGCUGCUUAGUGCAAUCACUUCACUUGAAUGGAACGAAAAGACAGUCAGUAAAUUAAUUCCCAAUUUUUUUUUUUUCAUUAAAAUAGCUCCAAAUUCCACACAGCUUCUGUUCCAUGCAGAACACAGACAAAGGAAAAGGCAAGGGGAAAUCCCAUCAGGGACAAAGGAGACAAAUCUGGAGCAAUUAAAAUAGACAUACUUUAAAAAUGUCAGAAUCAGGGAGAAGGAGGAAAAGACUUUUAGAAGGCAGCAAAUAAAUAAAUGUGCAAGCGUGCAACUAUUAAAAUAUUUGAUGAAAUAAUAUUGUUUUUCCCAGACUAAAGAGUGAUUUGUUCACCUUAAGUAGCAGUAACCAAAACAAAAACCAAAAAAACAACAAAAAAGCCCUCUGACCUUCCCUCCACUUUAAGCUCAGUUUGGCUAUUUAUAUCAUCAUAUUUUUAACACUGCACCUAUUACAGCAGUUCUGCCACAGCCUUCUUAUUCCAGUGACGCCCUGAAGAAGGGAAGCUGGCCAAAAGAGAGUAAUAAAACCCGUAUCUUCUGUUCUGUUCAGCCUUAUUAUUGGUGGGCUUAUUUCAUAUCAUUACUUUUCAGAAAUAGAGGGCCAAGUUCCCUCUUUAGUUUCUUUGCCACUGUUUCUCAAGAACUUGCAAACUUGACCAGAGUAAGGUCACUACAUUCCAGACUGCCUUCAGUCUUAACUUCCAUGAUAAGCCCUUCCACACUGGUGAGCACCAGGUCCAAUAACACUUCAUCUCUGAUUGCGCUGUCCAAUAUCUGGGUCAGGAAGUUAUCCUCAAUGGACUCUGGGAGUCUUCUGGAUUGCUUUCAGCUCACCAUGUUGUCUUCCCAGCAGGUGGUUGAAAUCCACCAUCAGGAUGAGAGUCUGCACCUCUUGCAGUUGAAGCAAGAAGGCCUUGUCAACAUGUUGUCCUUGAUCAGGCAGACUGCAGUAGACCUUGAGCACCAGAUGUCCGUUUUUGGUCUGAUCCCUGAUUUAAAGCCUCAAUUUCAAGCUCCCAACCUGGUCAUGGCUGUUUCUCAGAGGCAGCUCUUGGCAAUCUACCCACUUUGCAACAUCGAGGGCAACUCCCCUGCUCCUCCUGCCUUGCCUAUUAGUCGUAAAAAGCCUGUAGCCCUCAGCUGCCAGUUGUAUGAUUCACCCCAGCAUGUCUCUGUGAUAGCAAUUAGGUCACAGUUUUCUAAUUCCACCACAAUUACCAUCUCCUCCCUCUCAUUUCCCAUGCUGCAUAAUGGGAUAAAUAACACUAUUAGAUAAACAGAUCAAUAAGAAUGUUAGCACAGUGUCUUUACUGAGGACAAGCACUGUCUCUCUCCUACUUACAGUGACCAGAGCACCCCCAAACCUGACUGAGCAUCUCUAGUCUUCAUGUCAAAAGACAGCUCUGUCAGGGAAUGCCUAGUAGAAUGAAAACUUGUGAACAUAACUGUGAAGUAUGCAGAAAUAGUUCUUCAGAUGUAAUAUUUGGCAACAAACGUUUUUAGAGUUUCAGCUCACUUUCAGCCUAGAAAACUUGUAUUUCUUUCACCAAGUAAUUGUUUUGAUAGAGCUUCUUAUGCUUACUUCAUUCAGCAUUUUGUGUGCUAUUCGUGUUAGAAAGACAUUUUUCUGUUCUCAGCAGAUGGAGAAUCCUGUAGCUGAAUACUUUUGGAUGUUAUCCCAGGCCUUUUUUCUCCCUUUCUCGUUCCUCUUCUCUUCUACAUCUCCCUCAGACUGAAGCAAGCUUUGCACAGAUUUGGAGGAUUUUUGAUUUCACAAUGUGUUUGAAAAAUAAGAGUGACUUGGGAGAUACAAAACAUACAAUAUGAAGCAAUGUCUUCAGCUAUGAAAAUCUGAAAGCCAAUGCCUUCUUAUGGAGUGUCUACAUUAAUCUGGUUCAAGAAGCUACCAGUUGCAUCUAUAUUCCAGUUAUUCCUACAGAUGCAUUCUUAUCAUGACUCCAAAGAAAAAACAAAAGAAAAUGAAUACAUUUCCAAUUAUUUCCUCUUCUGCUUUUCCUGAGAUGUCCUAUUGUUCACUUGUAUCUUACCUUCACUCCUCUACGACUAACAAGACUACUUUUGGGUUGGAGUUACGCUUGAUUUUCCAGACUUUGAUUUCUAGAUUGGUGUUAAUUCAUGUAAGUGUAGUGCACACUACAGAUACAUGGAAUAGCGAGUUAACAACAACUGCCAGAGUUUUAUUCUUGCAGUGGUGACAAUGACUCUAACUUUUUCCUUUAACACCUUUUGCAUUAGGAUCCAGCUUCACAACUCUCGCAAAGGCACAUGUCUCUAAGGGACUCAAUGGAAAGAGCCUGAACUGUCCCAGCUAAGCAGCUAGUCCUGCAUCUUAUAGAUCAAAGAAGUAGCAUUUUCCUCAAGUAUUCCCCUCAUCCCCUUUUAUUUCUAUGCAUUUCCUUAUGUCAAACAUUUUCUCACAUGUUUAGAGCAUCUCAGUAUCUCACACAUCUGUAUUACUGAAUACAUCUGUACUCACCUCAGGUUUCCCAAGCUCAUUUCCUCAGAUGUUGCUUCUGAGUGUAAGAAUUCUGUGUGCAUUUUAAAAUUAAAAAAAAAAAAAAGUGAGAAGUCAUUUUCCCAUCACCUCAAUGUACUUCACUUAAUGCCCCAUUCACUCAGUUCACUGAGGUAAAUAUUCUCUUCAAACUUCCUUAAGAGUUACAGGGGACAAAUAUUUUUUUCCUCCAGUUAAAUGACUCUGAAACUAACAGCUUUUGUGUUCACCUUUCAUUACAGAGGAAAGCCACGAGAUAUCAAUCCAUCUACAGAAAAAUAAAACCAAGUAAGUGAGGAGAAGGGGGAGGAUGUCGGGACAAGGAGCCAAGAAAAUAUUUCUUACUUGAGCACAUGAGAUAUUUAGUAAUGUGUUACAGCUGUUCGGGAGCUUUAAAUGGAGUUCCAUCACUGAGAGAUUACACCAUGCUGUGUUUGACUUUCCAGUGAGUGCAAGGCCAUUGUCUGUACAGGGAAUCUUUCAUGGCCAAUCUUUCAUCCAGGCAGCCUGACCAUCCAGUCAGUGUCCAUGCAGUGCCCCUCUGCUGUCUCUUCUCCACAUCUUGAAUGUCACUUAUUUCUCCAGCCCCUUGCGAAGAAGUCCCACAGACUGGCCACAUACAUCAAACUGAACCCCAGAAGCCUCUUAGACAUUAUUUCAGUGGUCAUCAAUUAUUUGCACCCCGUAGUGGUUGAUCAAAUCUGACUACAGGCUGAGUUUUGACCAUCUGGCUUGCAUGAUAUGAUCAUAACAUUGUUUUUAGCUAUUGAAAUCAUGCUGUGUAGAUACUGAAAACAAUCCUACCAGCAUACAGAAUACACUCUGCAGGGGGUUUCUGAUUACCAACAACAACCUUCUCUUACGUCCCAUAGCCCCUAAAAUCCUAAAAAUAAAAGGUGUGUAGAGCGAAACGAGUACUGUAACAUUCUUUUCAAGUAGAUACUCCCACAUACUCAUGCAGUUUCCUCCUUCAGAAAAGUGCUUUCUGUGAAAGGGUGCUCCCAGUUGCCCUACAAACCAAGGGUAACCAGGACUUCUAGCCCGUGUUCUUUGCUCUUUCCCUUGCUCCUUGGUUCUCCCUAACCAGUUAGAUUUCUUUCCUUUUUCCACAUAUCUCAUUGGUUAUGAAUACACUGUAACAAAAACAAAAACCAGAAUAAGCAAGGAAAAGCUACUGCCUAUCACAGUACCAUCCGUACCUUUCUGGAGUCACACUACGUAUAGAAGAAAGGACAGAAAUAAAAAAGAAGAGAAAGCAGUGAUUCAGAGGUUAUCAAUGACCACCACCUGAGGGAGCAUGGGGAAAUACAGAGAAGAUUGCUGCUCUUCAGAAGCAUACUUCUUAAGCAUAAUGGAGUAUGUGCACUGCUCAAAUGCCUACAAAAGCUGAUUAAGGAGAAGAAGCCUGGAAGGAGGACACUGUAAGCAAUUACUAUGCAUUAUGAGGAGAGAAAAAAAUACCCACAAGUUUUCCUCUCUAUUUACAAAUGUUGUACUCAGUAGCCUAUAAUUUAAAGAGGAGUCUUGCCCUCCCCAGACCCUUUAGCGUCUUUGUAGCCCUCCUUUGGACGUUCUCCAGUAGCCUUGUGCUCUUCCUAUAUUGCUGCAGCCAGUGCUUGAGGUGAGGCUGCACAGCACAGAGUUGAGUAGUUGUGGAGUCACAUCAAACUUACUGGUGGCGUAUGCUUAUUAUAAGAAGAUUCUGAGCAAGGAAGCAUAUUCAGAGAGGCAGCCAAGGCCCGGCAGUCAGAGAUGUUGUGAAUGAAAGGGGUGCAUUAUCCAGCUCCCUGCACUCAGCUGUGGCAUGCUGGCUUAGAACAGAAGGAAUAAUUCAUUCAUUUGUAGAAAGCCAAUGUGGGUCCAAGCUGGGGAAAGGAUGCGUAGAAAAUAACCUGUGGCUAUUUUAAGCUUAACAGUUGUUUCUCCACUGGCUGAGUAGCACACUGAUGAGAACAACCUUACACCAGCUGACUUCGGCCCACUAGGAAGCACAGCAGGGAAACCUCUGAGACCAAGUAAUUGUUUCCUUCAGUUCAGUGUUUCAUGUUCAAAAGCAGCAACUCGAAAACCAUUAUGUAACCCUCCUGUUUAUUCCUGCCUUUUAAACUUACCCAAGCAUCUCUACCUGCAGCUACUCCACUGAUGUUAAUUCUGGGGAAAGGGGUUGGAAGAACACCAGGGAAUGACAUCCUCAAUAUGUCUGGAGAGCAGUUCCUGAAUAGCUUUCCUUUCAGAGCAAGAUCAGUGGCCUUCCCCAGAGAUGAAUGAGAAACAUCAGAGCUGAUGGGGGUGGCUCACCCCCUCUGCUCACACACUCCUUGACUUCUUUCCUGAGAUUAAAAUGAAGAAUCGCAUGGCAACUCUGAUAAGUGUGUUCCUUGUGCUGCCUUAUUUGCUGAUGGCAACAUGCAAGAAGCUCAGCUGCUGGAGCUUGCUGUAAUUCCAGGAAGGCAGGUUCUGCCUGUUUGUGUAUUUAUUUAUUUAUUUUCGCUACCAGGCCACUCCAAUUUAUUACUUACCAUAUAGCAGUGUGGGAGACUUCUGGGAGCCAUCUGACAUGUGUACACCUUCCACUUCACCUUGUUGAGCACUGUAAGAAUGGGAAAGGGUAUCAGAGAAGAACUCAUUCUCAUACUUAAUGGAAUUGUCACAGUUACUGAUAUGAACAACCCUGUGCCUGAUCAUUCAGUCCUGGCUGCUGUUUCAACCAUGUUCCACUGACACCCCUCAGUUACAUGGGAGCACCACCACAGCUGUGCUUUUGUGUGCAGCUGUGGUUAUUGAUGCUUGUGCAGAGGUUUGUGAUUAAGGCCUGGAGAAUUUCUCUCUAGAAAACAAAAAUCAGACAUUUGGAGAUAUUUCUGAAAAGGUAAUUUGAUUUUACGUUUUCCCCAUCUUUAAAAGUAAGUUAUCUCUGCUGAUAUAUGUCUUUUAAUCAGAGAAGCACUGUUACCUUUCUUACUGUUUAUCACUUACCAGGGCUGAAUUUGAACUGAUGAGAACAGGAUACAGUGUUUGAUAUCAGCUUACAGUACAGCUGAAAGAUCAGCUGCCAAAAUGAUCUGCAUAUGCACACUUGAUUUGAUGAGCUCACAUCUUUCAGUUCAGAGAAGGGUAGUGCCUAUUUGUCAUUAUUAUUUUGCAGAUUGCGUAGAACUGUCACGUGCUUUGCUUUAUUUCAGCAGUACUUGAAUAAUGGUAAUGCCUGACUUGAUAAAAGGUGACUCGUUCAAUAUUAACAUUAUCUAGACAGCAUUUCCAGUAAGCAUCCUGACCCACUCUCUGUUUUGUAUUGAGAACAUUUGCUUUUUCCCCAGGAAAAAAAACCAAAUCCUUAUGAAAAUAAUGAUUUCUGCAAAAUGUUUUGAUUUACAAGUUUCAUUUCAUAGAAAUGUGCACAUACGAAAGAUAAACGCAUUGAAAUGAAUAUAGCUAUAUUGAAAUGAAUGUAGUUAAGAGUAAUAGAGCAAGAAUCAGGAAAUACCCUGAGAGCUGCACACAGGCAUUACUGUGGUCUUUCAGGAAACACAGGGAGAAGUUACAGAAGUGACUUCAAAACUGACACCACUUUAUAGAGAAUAAUCCAAUUUCUGCAGAUCUCAACCAGCCUAACGGAGCGAGGGUGUAUGUAGCAGUCAGUUAUAAAGCAUUAUAAAGCAGUCAUAAAGCAUUUCUGGUAGUACGGAACUGUUUUGUGUGGUAGAUAUUGUUUUAUUGCAUUGAUUUACUUCAUUUAGUUAGCUCUCCUGCUAAAGAGAAAUCACUUUGUGUGUUGAAAUCCUUCAACAAUGUUUAAAUAUAGACCAGAAUUCUGGCCUUGCUGAAUCCAAUGGCAGAUUCCCAAACUAGAUUAUAAUAGGACAAAUAUAUCAUUUACAGAUGGAAAAUAAAAUCCAUUCAGCCUUUAGCAAGCUGAAAAGCUCCUCUGUUUUGUGUCUGACAUUUUUAUGGAGCUGGAAGAUAAAAACCUGAGAAGAAUAACAGUGAAUCAUAUCUAUCCUGUGUGGCAGAGCAACAAGCGAAGCCUGUGAGCUCUGGACAACGUGCGAGGCUCAGGGCAGUGCAGGUGAUGCCUACUCUCCUCACUGCCUGGGUCCCAACGUCUCACUGGGGUCCUGCAGGAGACCAGGGGUGCAGCAAUUGAAGAUUGCUCUACAGCUAUUCGACAUAUGCUCUCUGAAGCAAGGGAGGGGAAUUGCCCAAUUUACACCAAUGGACGGAGCAUCAGCAAGAUCAGUGAUCAUAACCAGAGUGAAACCUAGUGAUCUGUGGUGUUGGCUCCCUAGGAGGUGUUUGGAAAUACCAUUCCUCAGAAGUUCUGCAUAGCAGGUCUAGGCAUGGCUUUCAGCAUCACAGCUUUGGUAACUUGAGUAGCUGCUGGGGAAGAGAAGGGCAGAAAAGUGUAUUUGGGAGGGGAGAAGCAGCCUGGAUGAACCAUCUCAUUUCCUAGUGAGAGCCAUGGGUGUUCAACCUUUUGGUUUGUCUGGACUGCACUGAGUGAAGAAGAAUUGUCUUGGGCCACAUAUAUGUAGACUGGUCUGGAAGUAAUGGCACUUAUUUAUCUCCAUGGAAACUAUAACAGAUACAAGGAGAAAAAUAACAUUAUUCGAUAGAGCAAAUUCUCAGCUACAAAACAUUGUUUUUCAUCAUAGUCACUACUGUUAGCUCUGCAUUUUUGCCAGCAAUGAACAACAGCUGCAUGCUGCGCUCGUAAACAUCUAUACCAGAGGUGAGCCUCUGUCACCACUGCUGAAAUACAUCACUUGUUGCCUCACUGUGCUCACACCCACUGUUUGGUCUCCAUCAGCGUUCAGAAAGUGUCAACAAAUGUCAGUGGGUGCCAUAUUUUCUGCAUGGAGGAAUUCAGUGACACACCUUCACGAGCACUUUCACGUUGGAUGCCAUUGUGUCAGACUGCCCCUCUGAUGCCAUCUGCCACACAGCAACAAAACAUAAUGGGAUACUGGUGAGAAGGUUCAGCCUCUUCUGCCAUAUGACCAACAUCUGCCUUUGGCACUGUGGGUAAGUAUCAGAACAUUGGAGGCAUUGCUUUUGGAGCACUCUCCAUAAAGUAUAUAAUAUAGCUAAUGUGCUUCAUCCUUGAAAAUGGUUGUUCACAAAUGUAUGUACUGCCAAAAAAAGGUAAUGUGAAUAAGGUGAGACUGUGAAGUGAGGGGUAUUCCUCUUUCGUAAGAGAGGGCUUAUGGAUGUCUGGUAAAGAGAUACGAUCGCAUAUUUCUUGAGUUGAAUGUCUGAUUGCAACUUGAUACAUUCCAUUUGAAAAUUCACAACUGAAAAUAGAAUUACAAAUAUACCAAAAAACUGAUCACCUUUUUUCAGCUAUCUUGAAACCUGCUCUCAAACGCAGCCCACGGGCAGAGGGUUGGCCAUGCCUGUAAGUCAGCAGUCUUCUGCAGCACUCUGCCUUCUUACAGUCCCCUCUCAGCAUCAACGCGCAGGCUGGGCGUUCAGAGAGAAAAAGCUUUUGAGCACGUUGAGUAGAAAACAAGUUACUGAAAUAGCACUGGAGGUCACAGAAAAAGCAGUCUGUAAGCUAACCAGACUGCCCUGUUGCAAAGGCUUUCAGGUUUUCGUAGCACUGACCAAGGUACCGCUGGAGAGUGGGGUCUGUGGAGCUCAUUGUGAGCAGCUUGGCAGUGCCGUGCGGUUUCUGGCAGCUGGACAAAAUGCUUGCGGUUGGCAGGCCUCUCGCAAAGCCAUGGAAGGAAAGGAUAUAAAAAGAACACUGUUUCUGGAUUAACCAGAGGGACGGGCUGCACUGGCCGGUCACCACACAGUGCAGGAAGGAGCGGGCUGAGCUCCCUCAUUCACCACAUCCGCUGCUUCUGUGGAGCCAGAAGGAGGCAAUCAGGGGCCGCUACCAGAACAGAAGGCCUACAUGAAUCUUCCAAAGUAGCUGAUGUGACGUGAGACUCGUUUGGAAAGUGCUUUUCGUUUUAUAUACAGCUCAGCAACAGAAGCUUUUACUUUAAUCUUCUCAUUUCAUAGUGCCUGGGGUAAAAAAAAAACAAACAACAAAAAAAACAAACCAGCCUCAGCCGAGUGCAGCUUCGGUUUAAACAGAUUGUAUGGCAGCUCCAUUGGGUAUUUAGGUCCAGUUAAUUCCUUAUAACAUGAGAAAAUUUCUAGUGACAUCUGGAUUCCCUUUUUCCUCCUCCAGGCACACUCAGUCUGUGCUCUCACCAUGAAAGUUCAGAGCAGGUUGAAAUAUCACCUGCAGGAGUAAUUUUUGGUUGAAAAAAUAAAAGGGUUUUUUUAAUGCCAACCGUUACCGGAACAGGCUGCCCAUGGAGGUGGUGGAGUCACUGACCCUGGAGGCGUUCAAGAACUGUGUGGGUGUGGCACUGAGGGACAUGGUUAGUGGGAAUGGUGGGGGUGGGCUAACAGUUGGACUUAAUGAUCUUAGAGGUAGGUCUUUUCCAGCCUUAAUGAUUCUAUGAACCUACAAUCAAUUAAUGGCAGCCCAGAUCCUCAUCUCAAGAACUCCAGUCUCUAUACUGUUUCUUUAAUGAACGUUAGAAGCAAGGCUUGUUUUUUCAUUACUGAAUAAAACAGAGCUCUAUUAGGCUUUUGGAUUGAUCUUGUUUCCCAGCCUUCUUAUUUGUAAUGUUUUUUUGACAGAUGUGCUCAGGCUAUUCUCGUUGUGAGAAGAAACAGGGAACAGCAUCAGAUGAACUUGUUGUCAGGUUAUUAUUUGUCAACAAGAUCAAGCAAAGCCCUGCUCUCCUGGAGAAAUCGAAUUUCCCCACCAGCCAGGCUGAAUACUUCCAGCCAGUAUCCUGCCACUUCCCAGCAGACCUGUUCUUAGGUUCACAAAAGUUCCUUCGGUCUCCAUCAAACUCUCAUAUACUCAUGAGGCAUACUUACACAUCCCAUUCCCCAAAUAAUAUUCAGAUUUAAAAAAACAAAAAUCUAUCCAAAGCAUGAAAUUACAUUCAGUGGUGUGUAGCGAUAGGACAAGGAGUAAUGGCCUAAAAACUUGAACAUAGGGAGUUCCAUACAAACAUGCAGAAGAACUUCUCUACAGUAAGAAUGAUGGAAGACUGGAACAGGCUGCCCAGAGAGGUUGUGGAGUCUCCUUUUAUGGAGAUAUUCAGGACCCAUCUGGACGCCUACCUGUGUGACCUACUGUAGGGUACCUCCUUUGGCAGGGGGUUGGACUUGAUAUCUCUUAAGGUUCCUUUCAACCCCUGUGAUUCUAUGAUUCCCAAGUAUUUGUCUUUAGUGACUUUUAGAAAAAAGGCCUCUUCUCUGCUCUGUACAUCCCUGCUAAUGAGCACAAGCAUCAAGAAGUAGAGCAGUGACCAUGCUACUUGCCCAACUGAUUGCUAUUGCUAAUGAACCACCCUGAUUAAAAGCUGUUCUCGUCAGUCCACAGUGGUGUUCUGAAGGGAGAUCCUGUAGUAAAUGAGAUCAUCAGUGAAAUGAUCAUUAGUGUGUGUAGAUUGUUAAAACCUUCCUGAAAACUGCUAUAAUGAAGCUAGAGUUGAAAGUACUUUUAAUUAAUUUUGGGUCAAAUAAUCCUUGGGAUGUGAAAGUGAUCUGUCACUAUCCCCCCAAAAUUAUACAUCGAAGAAAAGAGCAAGAGGAAUGUCAGGACUGAUUAGAUAACAACUGGAUGGAGGUAAUUAGUUGCUCAACUUCCAAGGAAAAGGUGGCAGAGAGCUCUGUGAAUGUGAGCGUGCAGAAGGCACACAAACAGCCCACGGCCUGCCUCUGCUCAGGGUCCCACAGACCUGAUGGUUCAGGGCAAUGUGAGUGCCAUUUUGGGUGCCAGGUGACUCCCAGGGACUUGGAUUGCCCCCCAGCCCCUUCCAUUGACAAAAGAGAGCUAGGCAAAAGAGGCAGCUAACGAGUUCCAUAGGAGUGUAAGGGAGAGACAUACAAAGAGCAGAGACUAAUACUGACCUUACAUUCCUCCAGUUUAGCCAACACAGUCCCACCUUUGCCAUGUGGGUGGCAUGUGAUGAGUUGGUGUGGGCUCCAGAAAAGCUCCUUGAGCACCACAUAUGUCUGAGAUCUGAGGGAAGUGUAAUUAAAAGCACAGAUUUUGACACAUCUGAAGGAAACAGGUAAUUGUAUGUGCUGAGAUCACCCCUGGGUUACGACAGAGGAGCCUACUAGCCUGCAUGAAUGAUCAGCAGAGCAUUGUACUGAAGAAUGAGAAAACAGUGUGUGAGUCCCCUUGCCUCAAAGGAGGCACCUCUAUCCUGCAGUCCUUUACUCAGGUAACCAAUCAGUCCUUCCAGUUCUGCAGAACAGCAGGAAUGGCAAGGAACUGGCCUUGCACUAAUUAUCUGGAUAUGUUAACACAUUCCCUGCCAUGACUUGGUAUUGAAGGAAGCCUUUAAGACCUUCAGAACUGCAUCUAUGUACCAGAUGCUUGGUUAAUGAGGCCUUCAAGAAACCCAGCUAACAGUCAUUAAACAGAAAACACAAGAUUAACAUUUAAGAGCAUCAAUUACUGAUUUACUACUUUAACAAGCUGUUAAUAAAUCAGAAAUUCCCAAUGCUUUUCUCUGUGUUUUUUUUUUUUUUUUUU
ensembl:lncRNA